CAAACUGAAGAUGGCGACCGGCGCACGGGUGAGUAACACGUAUCCAACCUGCCGAUAACUCGGGGAUAGCCUUUCGAAAGAAAGAUUAAUACCCGAUGGCAUAAUAGAACCGCAUGGUUUGAUUAUUAAAGAAUUUCGGUCAUCGAUGGGGAUGCGUUCCAUUAGGUUGUUGGCGGGGUAACGGCCCACCAAGCCUUCGAUGGAUAGGGGUUCUGAGAGGAAGGUCCCCCACAUUGGAACUGAGACACGGUCCAAACUCCUACGGGAGGCAGCAUG
rnacentral:rRNA from 1 species